AGCAGCCGCGGUAAUUCCAGCUCCAAUAGCGUAUAUUAAAGUUGUUGCAGUUAAAAAGCUCGUAGUUGAAUUUCGGGAUUGGCGCAUCGGUCGUGCCUCACGGGGUAUGAACUGGUGCAGUCAAUUUCUCACCUUCUGGAGAACCGCGAUGUCCUUAAUUGGAUGCCGCGGGGAACCAGGACCUUUACUUUGAAAAAUUAGAGUGUUUAAAGCAGGCAUUUUUGCUUGAAUACAUUAGCAUGGAAUAAUAAAAUAGGACGGCAUGGUUCUAUUUUGUUGGUUUCUAGGACCACCGUAAUGAUUAAUCGGGAUAGUUGGGGGCAUUAGUAUUCAAUUGUCAGAGGUGAAAUUCUUGGAUUUAUUGAAGACUAACUACUGCGAAAGCAUUUGCCAAGGAUGUUUUCAUUAAUCAAGAACGAAAGUUAGGGGAUCGAAGACGAUCAGAUACCGUCGUAGUCUUAACCAUAAACUAUGCCGACUAGGAAUCAGACGAUGUUAAUUUUAAU
rnacentral:rRNA from 1 species